rnacentral:lncRNA from 1 species
UUUAAGGGUCUACUCCAUAAGUGGUGCAGCAUAUAUAUAUAUAUAUAUGAUGUGGUUAGCAUGCGGCUAAGCCCGCACAUGUAGAAAUGAGGGACCCUUAAUACUUUGUUUUUUGAAAUAGAAUUGGAUCCUAAUUUUUAGAGAAUAUAUAAUCUUUAACGAGGAGAUCAUGAAUAUGAAAAAAUAAAUAAAUUUUGAAAAGUAGAAAUAAUAAUUCUAUUAAGAAAACAUUUUGAUCACUAGUUUUAAUUGUUUUUAGAUGGACCACCUAUUUGUACAAAUGCGGUGCAGCCCGCAUGAAACAAUUGUUCAUAUAUAUAGUUGUAAUAUGUGUACAAUACAUUAAACAAUUAAAUUAAAGCGUACCUCUAAAUUUUAAUAAGAUGCAAUUUUGGUGUAAAAAAUUAUUAGGAUCGCCUCAUAAUCUAUUUUUAUCUCUAAUUAUAUAAUUUAAACUCUAAAAAAUGGUCAAAUCAACUAGAUCUAUAAAAUGCAUGAAAAUCUUGAAAAUAGACAGUGCAGAUAAUUUUUUGCAAGAUGUGCUAUUUUUAGGACUUGAAUUAUCUUUUUUUCCCCAUAUCUUUACAAUUUUGUCAAGAUGAUCAAUUAGAUGUUUUAAAAAGAUC